UACGGGGGGGGCAAGCGUUGUUCGGAAUUACUGGGCGUAAAGCGCACGUAGGUGGUUUGCUAAGUCAGUUGUGAAAUCCCCGGGCUCAACCUGGGCACUGCAAUUGAAACUGGCAAGCUAGAGUAGGGUAGAGGGGUGUGGAAUUCCAGGUGUAGCGGUGAAAUGCGUAGAUAUCUGGAGGAACAUCAGUGGCGAAGGCGACACCCUGGACUCAUACUGACACUGAGGUGCGAAAGCGUGGGGAGCAAACAGG
rnacentral:rRNA from 1 species